rfam:Canis lupus familiaris chromosome 34, whole genome shotgun sequence.
GGGGGGAGGCCGGAUCCUGGGCUGUGUCCCGGCGCCCUGUGCUCCGGAGCCUGCGCUGUUGGAUUCGCGCUCCCGCCCCGCAUCCCCCU